UCCCUUUUAAAAGCACUCAGUGGGCCUUUUGCUAACGACCCAUUGAGCUGCCAAAAAGGGGCAGAAUAAAAAUACUGCUUUUGGGUGAAGUGGCAGCAUGUGCUGUUUUGCUUCAAUUGGUGGUGUGACAAGC
rnacentral:snoRNA from 1 species